rnacentral:lncRNA from 1 species
UCAUACUCCUCAUGCCUGACUCUUCAUAUCAUUCAUAUCAUGUCACAGCAUACCAUACUGAGGGCUAACGGAUCAUCCAACAUUCAUCCACAUAUUCAUCGAAUUAUGCAAUGCAGCAUCUUCGUGGAUUCUAAUGCAACAACCUAAUAUUACAUGGCAUUCAUGAUGUGUGUCUCAUGUUCAUACCAUUAUUAUCUUUAAA